GAUGAAGAACGUAGCGAAAUGCGAUACGUAAUGUGAAUUGCAGAAUUCAGUGAAUCAUCGUGUCUUUGAACGCACAUUGCGCCCCCUGGUAUUCCGGGGGGCAUGCCUGUCCGAGCGUCAUUGCUGCCCUCAAGCACGGCUUGUGUGUUGGGCCUCCGUCCUCCUCCCGGGGGCCGGGCCCGAAAGGCAGCGGCGGCACCGCGUCCGGUCCUCGAGCGUAUGGGGCUUCGUCACCCGCUCUUGUAGGCCCGGCCGGCGCUUGCCGACACAUCAAUCUUUUUUCCAGGUUGACCUCGGAUCAGGUAGGGAUACCCGCUGAACUUAAGCAUAUCAAUAAGCGGAGGA
rnacentral:misc_RNA from 1 species